rnacentral:lncRNA from 1 species
CGGGGUUCCCUGCGUGGCUCGCAGGGGCGGGGCCAGAAACUGCCGCGAUGAAUGUCAGUCCCCAGAGCCGGAACCGUUCCCGGUUUUCUCUACUUGGAUCUGAGAACUCUGUCCCUCCAGCCCUGCGAGCGCUUUGCCAGGGUGACGGGCGGAAAUGUCCCCGCAUCCGUGCCUGCUUUCCCAGAUGGGACCCUCCAGCAGUCCCCUCCACUGCCCGUGCUUCCUCCUAACCACUUCCCCCCAGCGACCGCGGAAGGCGCUUCCUCCCCCGCAGCGCGAGCCCCAAGCUCCUCCAGAGCCCCAGCUCUCCCCGCCCCCUUCCCGACCUUGUUUCAUAUGACCCCUCCCCCGCACAUACUCAAUUUCGUCUUCCCAAGGCGCCCACUCUCCACAUCCUGAUGAAAAAAAGAGCCGGCUGCUGUCCUA